CGACCGGUUCCGCGUGCCGGCCUCUGAACACAGCACCGUGAUUGGCUCACCGUCCUGUCUGCCGGACGUAACCAAUGGGCGGGGGGAAGGGAACGUGUGUCAGGAAGGACGGAAGAGGAGGAAAAGGAGGGAGAGGAGCUGACAGUGGUUGCAUCCAAAUCAAACGGGGGGGGAGGAGAUAGAAGGUACGCAUGCGCACUUGCUUGCUUCCCCCCCCGGCGGGGCGUCGAGCGAGAGUCACGUGACCCGACCCAGCGGUCGCGCCCCGCGGGGGUUUUUUAGGAGCUUCCCGGCCUCAGGGGACGCAAAAUUAAGUCGAGCCACCGCCCGUCGGGGACGCCGGGUGUCUGGGGUGGCAGUCCGCUUGCUCCAGCCCCUUGGGCUCCAAAGUGGGUAGGGACGUAGAGAAAGAAUAAAACGUCCAAGUUGGCAGAGCGCGCCCCCCCAUCUGUUUAUUUCAGAGUCCCAUUUCUCGGAUGGGCAAGUUGGGCUUCCGAGCCCCAAAAAAACUUGCAAGUGGCGAGGCUAGCAGGCCCUUCCUGCGGCCCGCUGCCCUUCGGGGACAGCGUCCUGUGACGCGCCGGCCGCGGCCGCCAGCCCGCCCGAGAGGCCGCCAGCGAACCGGAGCGCGGGACGGGACGCCCCGGCCAGGGUGGCGGCCCCGCACCUGUCCCGGGGAGCACACUCCGGGUCCACGUGUGGCCGCCUGCGUAACGCGCCAGCCCCCACCUCCUCCGGCCGGAACCCGCGUGGCUGCGCGGGGUGGACCGCCUGGCCUCCCGUUAACCUGCGCCGCGUUGCGGCCCCGUCACCCCCGCGGCUCCAGCCCCCGGAGGAAGAGGCCACGCAAACGAGAGGUGACCGCACAGAGGCAAAACCGGCCCUCCAGGUGUUGGCGGCGAGGACAGGAGCCACCAGGGCCUGCAGAAGCCGUCCAGGGCACCACCCCUCAGGAGCUGCCACAGCGCGCUCCUGCAAAGCAAGGUGGCUUUACAGCCGGCACUUCUGGACUAAAAGCUGACCCCCUCAUUAUGGUCCCUGCAGGAUCUGGGCCCGCGUCCUCUGUGUUCAUCUCACGCCGUCCUCUGCUUGGCUUGUGCUGCCCAGUCACACACUGGCCUUCUUGCUGUUUCCCCAGGACACCAAGCUCUUCUCUGCCUCAGGGCCUUUACCCUCACGGUACUCUCUCUGGAAUCUUCCUCCUCCUCAAUUCUCAAGGCUCUGCUCAAAUGGCCUAUAAGCACAGAGCCCUUGUCAUACCAGCCUUGUUAAGGUAGAGGUUCCACACGCCUAUUGCCUGGUUUUAUUUUUUCAUACCCUGCCUCACUACCUGAAAUGAUCCUACUAUUGAUGUGUUUACUUACAGGUCUCUUGUCACCAAUAAAUAACUUUUCGGAGGGGAGAAUCUUGGCAGUCUUAUUCCUGGUUGAAUCUUAAAAAGAUUGGCUCCACACCCAAUGUGGGUCUGGAACUCACGACUCCAAUCAAGAGUCACAUGUUCCACGAACUGAGCCAGCCAGGUGCCCCUGUACUUUCAUUUUUAACAUCCUUCCAGACUUCUAAGAAAACUGCCCGUUUGGAAACAGAGCCCCACUGUGGGCAUGUAGGAUCACCAGGGAAGCUGUUGGCUGAGCUGAGGAUAAACACCAGCGAUUCUAUUCUCAGUGACUAACUUCAACAUGAAUACCAACACGAAUGACAGGAAAUCAGAUGAUGCAAGGCGAAGCAGGAGCAUCAGACCUUGAAAUGACAUGGGGCUUUAGGUGAUAGCCAGGCCCGCUGGUUUGCAAGUGCACCCUGGUCCAGCCCUGAGAAGCCGCUCUUGCAGAAACACCUAGGAACCUGACUUAUUCAGUAGAAAAUAACUGCCCCAGAGGUGGGAGUUAGGGUCUAGUGAAAGUUUAAAUUAGGAGUAAUUAUAGUUGAAGAGCUUAAAACCAGAGGGAAACACGGGGGAAUGGACAUCACAUCUGUGAGCAUUCAGAGAAAUCAUUUAAAUUCACUAAAAUUAUUCCAACAACAACAAAAAUAGCAAUGAGUAGCAUUUUCUGCACACGAAGCAAUGCUAUGUUUGUUCCCUUUUUAAGAGGAAUCCUGUGACCCCUCUCCCCACAAAACCCAGUAUUGAAGUUCAGGCCUGAAUCACUCUGGAUACACACCCCUUGGAGAGGCUUGACCCAAACCAGUUAAAAAAAAAGAAAGCGCCAAAGAGCCAAAUUCUUGGCUUCCACCAGUUCCUAAACAGGCUUUUGAAAUUCAUGGCAGAGAUAAUAACCUUGAAAGCCAAGGCUUUUGAUUUGCAAGAUUCGCAAAAGAGGCUCUUUUUUUUAAAUGUCUCUGAAUUGGUUUUGAGUAGCAAGACUUUGGAUUCAAAAGCAAAUCCCUGAAGGAAUCUUGGAAUAAAGUUUCUGCCACAACAGACAAUACAUCUGCGGGGGGAACUGAUGAAAAGUCAGAUUAUCCUGUCCCCGAGGGUGAAAAUGUCCAAAAAAACCAAAAACCAAAACAAAAACCCAGAGAGGAGGAAUUAGAAAUUCCAGGGGGCUAAAGAAGAGGUAAAACAUGGUUGGCCGUGAGCUGAGGAGCUAAUCAUUGUUACAAUUGCCUUCAUUAUUCCAGUCUAUUUCUGUUUUUCUUUUUCUUUUCUUUUUUUUAAGUAAGCUUUACACCCAACGUGGGGCUCGAACUCAUGACCCUGAGAUCAGGAGUUGCAUAUGGUCCACCGACUGAGCCAGGCAGGCGCCCUUAUUCUCUCUACCUUUUUGAAAUUUUUCAUAUUAAAAAUACUGCGAUUGUUAGUUUUAAUGGGGAAGCUGGGAGACCAGCAAGAAGGUUAUCACAAUCGUGCAGGCAAGAAGUGGUGGUUGUGUGGGCCAGGGUAGCUGAGAUGGGGAGGAUGUGGGAAGCCGGAGAGAGGCAGGUGGAUAUCUGGUGGUUGCCCACUUGAUUAAAUUCCCCUGCACUUUCCCUCCUCCUUCACCUCAGGGGUUCUCACGCAGCGCUCCGGGAUGGGGGUGCGGGUAGGUUAAGUUAGAGAAGAGCGAUGCUAGAUUAGCAACGCAGUGGUUCCUGAGAAGGGUCUCUGCCCCAUGGCGCCACCUACAGCCCGGGGAUGAUAGGUACAUCCAGAUGCCUCUGGGUUCCAGUCUAGGAGCCCUGGGAACCUCAAAAGAUCGUCAGUAGGCAGUGGCCUGACCUAGUUUUUCAAAAUCCUCUCCACCCCAGCUACUGCGUGGAGCAGUUCAGAAUGGGGAAAGGAUGUGCUCUGGUUCAUCUCCAUAUCCCUGCUCUUUGCCUCCCACCAGAGAGUCCCCAGCAGAUGUUUGUGUGUGAAUAUAGAAGUGGGUGUGCAAUGUCAGAGAAUUGGGGGGGCCUUUCUGGACAAUCCGAAAUGUUGGUACGGUGAGUCCAGUCAAGUGGGUAAGAGGACCCAUUCUGAGAGCUGGGUUCAUAUCCUGCCACCGUCACUUACCUACCAGCUGUGUGAAUCUGCGCAAGGCACUUGAUGGUGCCUCGGUUUCCCCAUCUGUAAAAUGGGGUAAUACUAGCACUAAUAAUAGUACCUUCCUCAUAGGUCUGUUUUGAGUAAACUCCCGCAAUGCCAUGCUUUAUAUAGAGAAAGACCAAGGGAAAGGCUAGCUGUAAUGAGGGGUUAAGAGUACGAUAAAGAGGGCGCCUGGGUGGCUCAGUUGGUUAAGCGACUGCCUUCGGCUCAGGUCAUGGUCCUGGAGUCCCGGAAUCGAGUCCCACAUCGGGCUCCCUGCUCAGCAGGGAGUCUGCUUCUCCCUCUCCCGCUCCCCCUCUUGUGCUCUUUCUCUCUCUCACUCUCUCUCUCAAAUAAAUAAAAUCUUAAAAAAAAAAAAAAAGAGUACGAUAAAGAAACCACUCAAAUGCUGCAAACCCUCCUCGUACUGCCAGGAAUGCCCAGAAAGUUCCCCCCCCCCCCCCCCGGGGUGGGAGUUGUUUUAUUCCCCGUUGGCUCUAGCGUGGUGUAUAGAGCUCUGCUCCCAGUAGGGGGCGCAGUAAAUAUUGACUCAAGCAGCGAACGAGCCAGGAGUUUCCUAAGGACCAGAAUUCACCUCUUAAAAUAACCCCAAACCUAAAGAAUCCCACAAGAGCAAAAACUGUAUCAGAGGGAAAUUAUUUGAGGGACGACUCCCGAAUGUGACAGUGGUUGAGGAAAAGCAUCUCUUAUCGAAAAGAUUGUGUGUGUGUGUGUGUGUUUUAAGAUUUUUUUUUUAAAGGAAUCUCUACACCCAACUUGGGGCUCCAACUCACAACCCCGAAAUCAAGAGUCCCACGUUCCCCCGACUAAGCCAGCUACGUGCCCCAAAAAGACUGUGUUUUGAGACAAAUGUUUGCUUGCUCAGAAAAAGCAGAAAAGGUUUGGGGGUGGCAAGCCGCAACAAAUAGUCAUUAAAGCAAAAUUAGUACAGGUCUUAAAUUCCCGAGGUUGCAAAACAGCCUGGCUGAGGUCAUUUGUGCCUAAUUAUUGUGCCCAAUAAUUACCUUGACUAAUUAGAGCAAAGGUUUUGGAGUAUGUUUCUAUUCCCAGACACUGAGUCAUCAGUGACCCAGAAUAAAUCAUUUCACUCUAUUUGUGUCUUGGAUCUUCUGCAUGGAAGCACCCUUGGCCAACCCCUCGGGGCCAUUCCAAAGGCUUCAUUAAUUAAUAUUUGGAAAACAAUGUAAUUUGUAUGUGUCAGGCCUAUAAAAACAUGACAUCAGUAUGUUUUGUAUGUUAGGUUCAUUUAUUUAAUUAUUCAACUACUCUCCAGGUGCACUUAAUAUUUAUUAAGUACCUCUUCCGAGCUAGGCCCUGAGAUAAG